rnacentral:lncRNA from 1 species
UGAGACCACUAAUGCAACAAGAUCAGUAAAGGUUAAGAUUCAAUAUGAUUACAUUCCAUCUUACUGCAGGAAGUGCAAGCUACAAGGUCAUAUGGAGGAUGAACAUAGAAUACUUCACCCGUGAGUUGGAAAAGACAACAAGCAAUCCUGAAGAGGAAACACAACAAGAUCAACAAAGAAGAAUGCGAAAUGGGAAGUGUGUUGGCAGUAGAAAAUGGAUACCAACAACCAGAGUUUUUACUCUAACCAAAGAUAUUGAACAACCAGGUGGUCCUGCAAAAGACAAAAAUGGGAAUGUAAACACUUGUAAUCCUUUUGAAAUGUUAUACAAAUAAUGAAGUGAAUGACAUAAACAACAAGGAUGAUUGUAUUUUAACAAAUCCUACAAAACAAAAAGAAGAGACUACAAGAGAAUGGGUUGAUAAAUCUUUUAAAGAAGACUACAGACAUCAGAUUACACCUUCAAAAGCAGCUUCCAGUACCACUCCUAGUAGUCAUAGCAAUGGGAAAUCCAGUAAAUGGAGAGAUAGAGUGGAAAUUGAGCAGGCCAAAGAACUGGAGGAGAGUGAAAUUGAGACGAGGUAUCCCAGUAUGAAGUGUCGAGAGAUCGUGAUUUCUACUCAAUCGAAGGCUUUAGCUAGUAAGAAUGAUGAUGGUGAGUUCCAUGAGGAGAACCAGGUCUGCAAGGAUCUUGAUAUAGAAUUACGAAAAGUAGAUUCUGAAGACUCAAGGAAAAAUGAAAAGGAGGAUCAAAAUGAUACAGAGCAAUUCCAUUUGUUGGCAACACCUUACCAGAAAAGUCCAUCUGAAACAUUACAUGAUAUUCUUACGCACCAGAUGAAUAGGGUACAAGAGGCAGAAAGCAGUUAUGAUGAAAGUGUGACAAAAGUUGAGGAGGAUAUUGCUGAAAAUAUGGAGGAUGAUGCUAAUUGGAAGCAGGUUGGUAGGACAGGUGAUCUGUCUCCCAAAUCAUUAAAGAAAUUUGUUAAGAGGGGGAAAAAAGCAGACAAGCUUAGAAAAUCAAUAACCUACAAGAGUUGUGCCAAAAAGAGGGACCACAAACAAAGUUGUUACAUGAUGAUGAAAGCUAUCUUUUGGAAUAUCAGAUCUAUUAACACACAACAAGCUUUUAAUAGAUUGCAAAUGUUAAAUAGACAUCAUAAGUAUUUUCUUAUAGCUCUUAUGGAGCCAUUUCAACAUAUGAGACACCUGCGAGUUAUAAAAGAAAACUGAAAAUGUAUACAGCUGGCACAAAUAACAAUGGAAAGAUAUGGUUUUUUGUUAAGGAAGGGCUAGAUGUGGAAGUAAUCAGUGAUACAGAGCAACAAAUCACUGUAAAAAUAUCAUUCUUGGAGAAUCAGAAGCAAAUGAUUAUCACUAUGUUAUAUGCCAAAUGUUCUGAAGGAGAAGACUUGAUUUGUGGAAUGACAUAUAUUGUGGUAAUGAUACUACUCUUCCUUGGUUGAUUGGUGGAGACUUUAAUGUUAUUCUUCAUGAAGAUGAGAAAAUAGGGGGUUUACCUGUGACUCAGCGGGAGAUGGAAGAUUUUGCAUUUUGUGUGAAUUCUUGUGAACUUGAAGAAAUCCCUUUUAAAGGUAGCCCUUUCACUUGGUGGAAUGGGAGGGCAGGACCUGAUUGCAUUUUAAAAAGGUUGGAUAGACUAUUGGCAAACUCGCAUCUUAUGGAAUGGUUCUCAACAAUGGAGGUGGAUCAUUUACCUAGAACGGGGUUGGAUCAUUCCCCUAUGUUUCUUACUUUGAGUACAGGGCAUCAACCAGUUGUCAAACCUUUUAAAUUUCUCUCUUUCUGGGUGGAAGAUAUCACCCUGAAUGAGGUAGUCCUACAGCACUGGAAGACCAAUGAAACUGGAAAUAGUUUCUGGAUUUUCAAACACAAGUUGAAGAAUCAGAAAAAGGCUUUGAGGGUAUGGAGCAGGGAGAGGUAUGGUGAUAUCUUUCAACAACUAACUAUUAGAGAGGAGAUUAUGAAGAUGAAGGAACAGUUAUUUGAGGAAGAUCCUUCUUUCUCAAAUAGAAUGGCUAUGCAGCAGGCUCAAGCAGAAGUGAAAAGAUAUAUACACUAUGAGGAGGAAUUCUGGAGACAAAAGGCUGGAAUAACAUGGUUUGAAAAAGGAGAUAGAGAUACGAGAUUUUUUCAGUCUUGUAAACGGAAGGAGAAAGAAGCUACAAAUCCACAUAAUUAAAAAUACUAGUGGAGAUUGGAUAGAGGAGAAAGAUUUGGUUGCUGAUGAAGCUGCACAAUCUUAUAAGAGACAAUUCACACAAGAAGAGGAGGGAAAUAGUUUUGAACUGUUGAAAUUCUUACCAGAGAUGGUUACUACUGAAGAUAACAAAUUAUUAUGUACAGUACCCACCAUAGAGGAAGGUAAACAUGAUGUUUUUGGUUUAAAAUGUAGUAGUGCUUGUGGCCCUGAUGGGUUUUCAGGAAUAUUCUACCAACAUUGUUGGGAAGUAGUCAAACAAGAUAUCUAUAGCAUGGUGAAUGACUUCUUUGAAGGUAAUACUCUUCCAAAAAGUGUUACACAUACCAAUUUGGUACUUAUUCCAAAGAAGGAGGUUAUUGAAAGCUUCUUCAAUCUAAGACCUAUAAGCCUCAAUAACUUUAUUAACAAAGUUAUUUCUAGAGUAUUGCAUGAGAGGCUAGAAGGUUUAUUACCAAGUUAAUUUCUAAAAAUCAGUCAGGUUUUGUCAAGGGCAGAAGUAUCAUAGAGAAUGUUCUACUUACGUAGGAAAUAGUUACUGAUAUUAGACUGAGAGGUAAGCCAUCUAAUGUCAUUAUAAAAUUGGAUAUGUCAAAGGCCUAUGAUAGAGUAUCAUGGCUCUUAUUAACAAAAGUCAUGAGAAAGAUGGGCUUUACAGAAGUGUUUAUUGAUAUGAUUUGGAGACUAAUUGCUAAUAACUGGUAUUCUAUUAUUAUUAAUGGACAGUCAUAUGGCUUUUUCCAUUCUACAAGGGGAAUCAAACAGGGAGACCCCUUAUCGCUUGCAUUAUUCACUCUCACUUCUGAGGUGUUGUCCAGAGCUCUCAAUGCUCUCUUUGAAGAUGAGAGAUAUAAACAAUAUGGGUUGCCUAAAUGGAGUAGGAACAUAAAUCAUCUAGCGUAUGCUGAUGAUACCAUCUUAUUUACCUCUACUGCUAAAGGAUCUCUAGAUUUGGUGAUGACAGUGUUAAAAGAUUAUCAACAAGCAUCUAGCCAGCUUAUCAAUAAUCAGAAAAGUAGCUUCUAUAUGUACAGAAAGGUUUCUAAUGUUUUGAUGGAUGAAGUAAAGGAAACAACAGGAUUUAACCAAGGGAAAUUUCCUUUUGUAUAUUUGGGUUGCCCCAUCACACAUGCUAAGAAAAGAAAGGCAGAUUAUAAUGAGAUCAUUAAGAAGGUGAAGGGGAGACUUCAAAACUGGAAAGGAAAACUACUCUCCUAUGGGGAUUCCUAUGGAGCAAUAAAGAUGAAUGCAAGAGUAAACAUUGGGUAUCUUGGGAUAUGAUGUGUUACCCUAAGGAAGAAGGAGGUUUGGGUUUUAGAUCUUUAUUUGAUAUAUCGAAAGCUUUAUUUGCCAAACUAUGGUGGAAUUUCAGAACAUCCCGAUCUCUAUUGACUGAUUAUAUGUGGAAUAAGUAUUGUAAAAAGAUAAUUCCUACAUUAGUACAAUGGAAAAUAGGGUCUCAAAUUUGGAGAAAAAUGCUUGAGGCCAGGGACGAUAUUGAACAAGAAAUAUGGUGGGAACCUACUGUGGGUUCUUCUAGCAUAUGGUUUGACACCUGGACUAAAUUGGGAGCUUUAUAUCAUGUAGUGGAAACUAAUUUCGCAAUUGAGAAUGAGAUAAGAGAUAUUGAUUCACUAAUGAUAGAUGAAAAAUGGAAUGAACGGAAGAUGUCAGAAAUCCUCCCUAGUGAUAUUGUACAACAUAUUCAGGAUCAUAUUCACAUUAGUAAGGCAGCUUCACCUUGGGAUUUGCCUUGGUGGAUGGCUACUACUAGUGGGAAAUUCUCGGUGGCCAGUGCUUUCCAAUUGAUGAGACAGAGAAACUCACCAGUAGAAAACAUGAAACGUUUAUAGAGUAAGGGAGUCCCUUUAAAGAUUAACUUCUUUUUAUGGAGGUUGUGGAAAUAUAAGCUUCCUAUUGAUGAUAUUCUUCAAAGGUGUGGUAUCAAUUUGGUGUCAAGGUGUAGAUGUUGUGAGUCACCACAUACAGAAACCUCUCAACAUCUAUUUAUUACUAGUGAGUUUGCUCAAAAGACCUGGAAAUACUUUUUUAUUGGUUUUGGAGUAGAGGGUCCUUUUGUGCAAUGCCAUGAAACUAUUCAAAAAUGGUGGAAUACUGAGAGUCAUAGCAGGAUUAAACCAAUUUUGCAAGCUAUUCCUGGUAUGAUAUGCUGGCAGUUGUGGAAAAGAAGAAAUAAGGUGAAUUAUGGAGGCACUAUGACUUGGAGGAGAGUGAUAUAUAAGAUCUCUAGAAACACUCAUCUUUUAACCAUGAUUUUGUAUCCAUGGAUGAAGAACAUCCCACAAGAAUGGCCCCUUUUGAUGGAUUUUCUUCAAAAAUACAAAUCUGUGAUAAGAUUGGUACCUAUAAGUUGGAAACUACCUAAUCAAGGUUGGUUCAAAUGUAAUUCAGAUGGUGCUUCUAAAGGAAACCCUGGUCCAAGUUCUAUAGCAUUUUGUAUCAAGGGAAUAUUCAAUAUGCUCUAUGUAGAAGGAUGACAGACUCUACUAGUCUAUUUGUUGAGGCUACGGCUUUGAAGGAAGGGUGUGAGCUAUGUGUUGAAAGACUAUAUCUACCAGUUAUAUUGGAAACACAUUCUUUGGCCCUAAUAAAAAUAUUAAGGGGAGAUUGGGAUUGCCCCUGGAGUAUUGUGAUGAUUAUAAGGAGGAAAAAAGAGGUGAUUGAAGGAGGUCUCAUACAACUUCAGCACACACAUAGAGAAGGCAACAACGCUGCAGAUUUUUAGCUAACUGGUGUUUUAGUUUUGCAGGGACAAAAUGCUUUGAUUCAUUUGCAACAUUACCAAGGAAGGCUAAAGGCAUAAUUAUUUUAGACAAACAACAAGUUCCACAUAUGAGAAUCAAAAGACUUAAAAGACAAGCAUAAGAUGAAAUGAGACAAGAUUUAUAGCUCAGAUACUAUACUGUUGUUUAACAAAAGAGACAAGCAAGAUGGAAAUUAAACAAUCAACACAACAACAACGUACUGGCAGUAUAUUUCAGACCAAUUUGGAGAUUUGUACAGUGGGGUAAGUACAAGUCAAUGAUACAUUCGUUUGAAAUCUAUUAAGGUGGUAUCAAUCUCACUAGAGGUUCCUUCCUUUGUAGAAAUUAAACGAAAGUAUCAGGAUGCGUACCUUACAGAUACUCAAAGCUGUUAGAUCUAAUUCCCUUGAUUUUGUGAAGAAAAAGUCACAAGCUUGGAGUGAGCUCCAUCGAGAUUUAAAUACAUAGCACCUGGUGAGAGUUUAAAGGUGACUAGAAAUGUAUUUUGGCUCAAAGCUUCAGAUUUUUUACUCAAAUUAGGUGAAAAAGAUGACAUAGCAAAGCUAUAAACACAAGCUGGAAGGUAAUUUAUGGUGGUCAGCUUACCUGAGACGAGGAUUCCGACGAGCAGCUGAAGAAGAAGACUGAUUGACGCAGCAAGAGAUCGCCUCACUUUCCUUUAUGAGAAUGACAAUUUAUUAUUCUUUCCUUUGCUCUUUUAAAUUAGGUUUCUUAAUUGUUUUUUUUAAUUUUUUUGGUUUUUCUGUUGAAUGGUUGGUUGAUCCAGACCAUAUCACGGGAGGUGUAUUUUUUAUGGAAAAACUACCAAAUUACACUACUUUACUUUACCUAUUAUUCCUUUUUUCCCUACUUUUUAAUAAAAAUACGAAAUUCCCUUCUUUUCCCCCAAAACUGACUCUCCCGGAUACAUUAUUUCUUCAGCAAAGUAAACCCACGUCUCCAAUUCCUAAAAUCUCGCCUUCAAUCUCUCUAUAUUAUCAAAUCAGUUAUCUAAUUCAAAUCAAUUUGAAUUUCAAACGAUUUCCAACUCUUUUCAACCACCUGUAAAGUUCAAAACAGGUAUUAUCAUCUUCUUCGUUUUGCUUUUCUUUUUUUCUUUAAUCGUUUUUGGCUCUUGCAUUAUGGAUCCUUUAUCUUUUAGUUUUGGGAUUACCUAAAUAGUAUCACCGAACAAUAAUUUCAUAUUUGAUUAAGAAGAUCCCAACUGGGCAGAACUGAGAUCUAAGAGGUUGCAUGAACUGACAAUAAUGGUAAAUCGAAGUUCUAAGAAGUCAAAAUCAAAAAAGGAAGUACAUGCAUCAUCUAAAACAAAGGAUGCAAAAACUCCAAAGAAAAGGGGUAGAAAGGUUGCCCCUCCUAUAUCUCGACCCACACUACCAAUGGUAUGCAAUUUUUCUGUAAUUUUUUUUCCGAUAUCGAUUUUUAAACUUUAUGUAUUCCCCUGUUUUUAUUUUGAUUUUAGUUUGAUACGUUAUUGAUAAAUAAUUUUGUAUUCAUUAUAUUGUUUGAAAUCUGCACUUGGUACCCAAAAACAAUAAUUUUGGUAUAUUUUUGUUGUUAUAUUAUUGUUAAUGUAUCAGAAGUUAAAGGUCAAUUUAUAAGAUUGAAUGCUAUUAUGAUUUAGGUAUCAAAUAUUGAUAUUGAGUAUAACUUUCUAAUUUCUACACAUAAUACCAAGUUGUUGGUCAAAUUUUUGGGAUGAUAUAUAUAUCUACACAUUUCAUUCAAUUUAUAUUGUAUCUUCUUCCUGUUUGCAGUGACAGGGAACGUAUGUAGCUGCAUUUGCUGAAUUUCUGAGUGAUGAAAUCGAAAUCUCAUCAAUCCCUUUUUGAAGUGACUAUCUUCGCACAAGAUAUGCGGCACUGUUAUGGAAAUAUGGUACCGACAAGGCUAAGGCGGGAUACGUUAGCGAGAAUGAUGAUCCUACAAGGCCAAAGAGUGACUUCCUUCCAUCAACAGAUGAUGAAAUGAUUAAUGUAGAUUAGUAUUUUAUUUUCUGACUGACAGUCAAGUGUUGAAGCGUUUUGUUGUUUUAAAGAUUAACUGUUUUGUAGUAUUCCUCAUCAGGUUAACAUGAUACUUCUAAGUAAUACAUACUUCUAAAUUUGAAGAAUGUUUAUGUCCAUAAUUUUUUAUGUUGCCUUUAAUUUUGUUUUCAUUACAGUUUAAUAUUUUUAAAUUUGAAAAAUGUUUAUGUCCACAAUUUUUUAUGUUGCUUUUAAUUUUGUUUUCAUUACAGUUUAUUACUAUAAAUAAUAUACACAUAUGUACAACUCAUAAUAUCUUGUAAGAUACAAAAUUUUUACAAAAUUAUUAUGUACAUGAUACACCAUUGCCUCCACAAAUAAUAAAAUUGUAUUAUUCACAACACAUGGUACAAAUUAUCGAUUAUAAGAUUGAUACAACUCACAAAAGUUGAUACUAUAUCAGUAACAACUACAAAAUAUACAAAAAAAUAUAAUGUAUAUGAUACAUAGUUGAUUAAAACUAUUCUAACUGUAUAUUUUGAACUACAUCUGAUACUAUAUUCUUUUCACUUGAUACAAAUAGGUAAACUUGAUGCUUUGAAUAUUUAGAAUAGUUUUACAUGUUGUAUAUUAUAACUUUUGUACACAUCACAGCAAUUGGUAUUAUUUUAAUAUCCCACGCCAAAGUUACAAAAAUAUUAAGUAUCAAAUACACAAAAUUGCUACCAAAUUUACUUAUCGAAUAUCUUAGAAGUAAUAUACAAAUAACUACAGCUAAUACCAUUUUUUAAGCUGAUACAAGAAAUAUAUUAUAUACACGAUACAUAACUGCUUCAAAUAUCUCAACUUUGUAUUUUAAACAAUAACUGAUACUAUAUUAUUUGCCGUUGAUACAAAUAGUUCAUAUUGAUACUUUUAAUAUUUAUAAUAUUUUAACGUGUUAUAUCUUCUAACUUUGUCACAUAUAAUAACAGUUGAUACUAUUUCACUAUCCCAUACGAAAGGUACAAAAAAUUAAGUAUCAGAUAUACAAUAUGUAUAUCAAACUUACUCUAUCAGAAAUUAACAGUAAAAAAAGGUAGCCAGAAUUGAAAACAUAACCUUUUUCAUUUAUUGCAUAAGAAAAUAGUAAGCUAAAAGUACUUCAGAAAGUAUCAAAUUUAAAAAUUAUUAGACUUUAAACAUCAAAGAAAUCUCAAAAAGUAAUCAUCAAGAAUCUUUCGCUUUUUCCUUGGUCUACCAGGUAUUUUUUUGUAUUUUGGAGGCAAGACAACAUCUUCCAAAACACCUUCUGGAACUAUCCAAUCACUUCUGUCCGGCAUUGAUUCCUAACAGACGCCUUAAAAGUCCAACAACAAUCAUCUGAAUAACACACUAAUACGUAGCUGCAAUUAUACCAUACACAUUUAUUAUUUGAUCAUGUUUAAUGUAUCAAACCAUAAAUUGGAAACAAAAAAACAGUGCAAUAUCAAUGUUUCAAACAGAUUACAAUGUUUCAAACAAAUUAACGAUGAACACAAUUUAUAAUUCUCAAAAUGAACAUGAUAUGUUGCUCGGAUACAAAUUCGAAAAUGAUACAAAAUAAACAUAUUUACCAAAUUUCACAUAUUAUUCUCAAAAUGAACAUGAUACUUUAUUAAAUUCACACAAUUAUAUACAAAUAUAAUAACCUAACACGUUCGGUGCACAGAACACAUAUUUUUUGUGUAUCAUGAUCAAAUAUCAACUAACAAAUUAUACAAAUGAAGAAUGUUAUCAAAUAUAUGUAUCACAUACCUUUUGUUAUCAGAUCUUUUAACUCUAAAAUUGAAGUUAUGCUUAAUUUUGUAUUUUGCCAUUACAACCACUAGAGUUGCCUUGUUCUUGUACAAUUGCUUCACUUCCACAACAGUACUAUUUGGAUAUGAUAUAUAAUUUUCGAUCUCCAUUUCUGGUAAGUAAUAGGAAUCAACAAUUUUCGAUUCAACUAUGCUUAGAGCUGAUUCAACUAUGCUUAGAGGUUUUGCGUCCCUUUUUCCACCUUUAAAACACACAAUUGCACUUGUGGUUGGAUCGAAAUUUUGUAUCUCUUCAUCACUUUUAUCCGUUGUAUCAAUGCAUAGUGGAUACAAACUAAAUCCUACCUCAUGUUUCUUUACUUCUAUGUAUAACUUCACUCCCAUAUCAUUCCUAAUACACAAUGGAGACUAAUUACCUUCCACAACGUAUCUUAUCUCGAUGUUUUUUUUCAAUUCAUCAAUAACCAAUUCAGCUGUAAUGGCUGAAAUAAGAUUCACAAACGAAAUAUUUUCUCCAACCACUCGCUCGUAACUAACAUCACUUUCCCAUAUUCCCGAAUGCCUUAACAAUAUCGAAAUAUUCAUUUCGAAUCUUCACAAAUUUUUGAUGCAAAAUUUUGUUAAUCAAGCUUCUGCAAUUUUUUGGAAAAAUUUUUGUUAAUCAAGCUUCUGCAAUUUUUUGGAUGAAAUGGGAGACACAAUUACACAAUUUGAAAUUUAAAUCUUCAAGUUCUGUUACAUUUUUGUGAAAGGCUAAUUGUUUGAAGAAAGAAACGUACCCUUGAUUUGUG